GGCCCCGCCCACGUCAUGGCGCCUGAGGAGAACGCGGGUACCAAACUCUUGCUGCAGAGUUUCGAGCGCCGCUUCCUAGCGGCGCGCACACUGCGCUCCUUCCCCUGGCAGGUGGGCGGCGGGGCGAGCGGAGAGGCCUGCGGGGCUUGCGGAAGUCCAGGGGCAGACGGGAUGGGUCUCCCUGCUGAAACCCCCGGCGCUCCUGCCACCACGAGGCUGUCCACACGGAGCUUUUGGACGAGCUGUACGAGGCGCUGGCAGAGACCCUGAUGGCCAAGGAGUCCACCCAGGGCCACUGGAGCUAUUUGCUGCCCUCGGAAGGCUCGGUCACACUCUCCGAGCACAGCCAUCAUCUCCCACGGUACCACAGGCCUGGUCACAUGGGACGCUGCCCGCUACCUUGCAGAAUGGGCCAUCAAGAACCUGGCAGCCUUCACUAACAGGUGACCUCGGGGCACAGGGCAGCCGCCAUCUACCUUGCAGAAUGGGUCAUUGAGAACCUGGCAGCCUUCACUAACAGGACUGUCCUAGAGCUUGGCAGUGGCGCCGGCCUUACAGGCCUGUCCAUCUGCAAGAUGUGCCACCCCCGGACAUACAUCUUCAGCGACUGUCACAGCCGGGUCCUCGAGCAGCUCCGAGGGAAUGUCCUUCUCAAUGGCCUCUCAUUAGAGGCAGACAUCACUGCCAACUUAGAUAGCCCCAGGGUGACAGUGGCCCAGCUGGACUGGGAUGUAGCGACGGUCCAUCAGCUCUCUGCCUUCCAGCCAGAUGUUGUCAUUACAGCAGACGUGCUGUAUUGCCCAGAAGCCAUCGUGUCCCUGGUCGGGGUCCUGCGGAGGCUGGCUGCCUGCUGGGAGCACCAGCGGGCUCCUGAGGUCUACAUGGCCUUUACCGUCCGCAACCCAGAGACGUGCCAGGUGUUCACCACCGAGCUAGGCUGGGCUGGGAUCAGAUGGGAAGCGGAAGCUCAUCAUGACCAGAAACUGUUUCCCUAUGGAGAGCACUUGGAGAUGGCAAUGCUGAACCUCACACUGUAGGACUCAUACACGACUCCAACGGGAUUGUUAGAAUCAAAUCACUCUCGUGGGAAGAAUUUUUAUAUGGGAAAGCGGAUAAAACUUUCAUUGGACUGGAAUGUUUGGAGAAUGUUAAAUUCCAAAUCAGGAACCACAAUCUGCCCUCUAAUAAGACAUCGGCUAUCUAAGCAUGUGGGUGCCCCCUUUCUGCCAGCAGUUCUGGUUCUUAAGAAAAUCACCAUAAAUCAGACAUGAAAAUUCUGGCUCCAAAAAUAGCAUUUUCUUUGUGCAAAUAAAAACGUGUGUAUCAAGUAUGACGUUCCCCCAACGUGGACACACUCGGUUCCUCACAAAGCCAAGCCCGCUGCAGCUGCCACAUCCCUGGACACACUCGGUUCCUCACAAAGCCAAGCUCGCUGCAGCUGCCACAUCCCUGGACACAUUCGGUUCCUCACAAAGCCAAGCCCGCGGCAGCUGCCACAUCCCUGGACACACUCGGUUCCUCACAAAGCCAAGCCCGCUGCAGCUGCCACAUCCCUGGGCUUGUGGUGCAGCAGGUGCUUUUCUCAAGACAGGAAUCAAAGUGUUAGGAACAUGGCAGAAAGGUGACACCUGGAGACCAAAUGCAGGAUGAGGAGUACUGCAGAGGUCACAGGGAAGUCACAGAACAGUAAUACGCUAGCAGGGACAUGGGGCGUGAAGAACAGAAGAAGACAGGAAGCAUUUCUGAGACUCCAAAGAAGAAAUCAGGGCCAACCACAGCUUCCCGGGUCAUUCACCAGGUGGCACCACUGCCGUCAUUUCAGCUUCUGGCCACUGGGAGGCGCUGCUUGAAAGGGUUUGCCCUGAGACUCCAAGAAGAAGCUGCGGGAAGGACAGCAGGGGCCCUGGGGUUUUAGCCUCUGGCCCAGGAGUUAUGUGUCCAUAACCAAAGGGAGCACAGUCUGCACCCAGCUCUCAUCCCAUCAGAGCUGCUGCGACUCCCGCAGGUUCUUCCGGAACUGGUUUAGCUUGCCUUCAGGAUCAGGAAAGUUUGAGAAAAGCAUCUGCAAAAUACUGAAGAGCAGAGCUUACCUCAUUGCCUGUCCCCACCCCAUCCCAGGUCACCACCUGGAUGACCCCAGCUCCCCGACCCAACAACAACCCCUCCCAAGUCCCUAGCUCCCUCACUUGGACUUGAGACCCUUCACACCCCAGCAGCGCUCCGCCUCCAUCUUGACAUGCUUUCUGGAAACUUCCCCGUAUGUCCCACUUUCCCACACUUGGUGCCCUGGAGCACCUUCCGGCCUCUACAUGAUGUACGUUCCCCUGUGAGCACCCUCCUCUCGGCCUCUGGCCAACACAGUCCCACCCAUCUGUGGGUAACAAGGGGGUGUUCUUUUCAGCCUUGCUAAACUGUCUGAAUCAAGGAUCACAAACUACAGCCUGCAGGCCAAAUCCAGCCCACAGCCUGUGUUUGUAAAUAAAGCUUUAUUGGAACAAAGCCACACCCCUUAA
rnacentral:lncRNA from 1 species